ensembl:snoRNA T01C2.6 ncRNA
UCAUAGACAAAGAAAAAAUGUUUAAAUUAAAAAUAGAAAGGUAAAAUCAUUUUGCAGUUUGAUCCUAGUUGAUUUCAUGUGACCAAAAUUGGAGUUCCGGUGGAUUAGUUUAGAAAAAUAAUAGUUUUUUGUCCAAUAUUUUUCAAUUUUUGUUGCC